CUGGGGCUGAGGGAUGUCUAAGGCACCUUCCAGUUCUAAGUCCUAGGGUCUCCAAGGACAAAGCUGGCACUAGGAUUCUGGGUUUUCUCAGGCCAGGAUCCUGAGCCUAAAAGCCUUGGGAAUAGCCACACUGAAUUUCAGCCCAGUGCCCUCAGCUGUCAUCCUGAGAAGCAGCCCCCGUGGUGAUCCAGCUUGGCCACCAUCCCCAACAUUUACCUGUGUAUCUCUUUGCAAUUUCCAAGAUGCUUUCCUAGAAGUUUACUACUUCCCUCCUGUGGCUUCAAGACAUUCAAUCAAUUCAGUUACAGGACAAAGCCUCAGGAAGGAGACAGUGGGAUUUGUUGGAAUGAACACUGGCUUUGGAGUCACAGCAUGAGGGUUCAAAGCUCAUCUUUGCUAUUAACCAUCUGCAUGACCUUGUCACUUCUCAUUUCUGGGCCUCCCUUUAUUCAUCUGUAAGAUGGAUCAAUUGGGCAAGAUACUUUCUAGUUUAGUUCUAAAUCCUGUGACCUGGCUGCUAUUGCCCAAAGAAGGGAAACAUUUUUUUCAGUCAAUAAACAUGUACUAAGCAACUACUUUGUUCCAACUAUUUUAUGUGUAAUCUCCAGGACUGUGCUAAGUG